rnacentral:rRNA from 1 species
AAGUUUCAGCAGUGGAUGUCUAGGCUCGCACAUCGAUGAAGAACGCUGCGAUACGUAAUGCUAAUUGCAGGAUUGACUUCGUCGAGCGUCGAGAGCGCACCUCGCUCUUAGAGCUCUGGUGUUG